rnacentral:rRNA from 1 species
GCCCGCUCAGAAACUUAAAGGAAGUUGACGGGGCCCGCACAAGCGGUGGAGUAUGUGGUUUAAUUCGAUGCAACGCGAAGAACCUUACCUGGUCUUGACAUCCCGGAGACCCUUAGGAAACUAGGGGGUGCUUCCAUCUGGAAGAAUCUGGAGACAGGUGCUGCAUGGCUGUCGUCAGCUCGUGUCGUGAGAUGUUGGGUUAAGUCCCGCAACGAGCGCAACCCUUGCCUUUAGUUGCCAGCAGUUCGGCUGGGCACUCUAAAGGGACUGCCGGUGUUAAACCGGAGGAAGGUGGGGAUGACGUCAAGUCCUCAUGGCCUUUAUGACCAGGGCUACACACGUACUACAAUGGCCGAUACAAAGGGCAGCGACACUGCGAGGUGAAGCCAAUCCCGUAAAAUCGGUCUCAGUCCGGAUUGGAGUCUGCAACUCGACUCCAUGAAGUUGGAAUCGCUAGUAAUCGUGGAUCAGCAUGCCACGGUGAAUACGUUCCCGGGCCUU